AAUGGUCUAGCAAACAAAGUGCAUCUGAUUUAGGUUCAGGGAUAUAGGUUAAUUCUUGGCCAUUU
rnacentral:tRNA from 1 species